UCCCCUAUAGCCAAGCCUUCUUGAGGAGCACCUUCUUUGGUCAACUUCUUCCGCUGUUCAUUGGACCGUAACACCGAGACCAUGUCUUCAUACCCCAAGGUCUCCUUGCCAUAGAGCAGCAUCAUCACCAAUGGAUCAUAGGAAGGGGGCAGUGAGCAUAGUAGUAGCAACAAAUUAUCUUCCUUCUCCAUCUUCACCCUGAUGUUCAACAACUCAUUACACAUCUGAUCGA
rnacentral:lncRNA from 1 species